AAGCAAAAAAAUAUGACCACAGAGUGUUGGGUAAAAAUCAGGAGCUUUUCUUUUUCGACCCAGUUAGCCCAGGAAGUUGCUUCUUCCUCCCUAAAGGGGCUCGGAUUUAUAAUAAAUUAAUGGAGUUCAUAAAGAAGCAGUAUAGAGAGAGGGGAUAUGAAGAGGUUG